rnacentral:rRNA from 1 species
AGGGUUUGAUCAUGGCUCAGAUUGAACGCUGGCGGAAUGCUUUACACAUGCAAGUCGAACGAUGAAGCCUAGCUUGCUAGGUGAAUUAGUGGCGGACGGGUGAGUAAUAUAUCGGAACGUGUCCAUUAAUGGGGGAUAACUAAUCGAAAGGUUAGCUAAUACCGCAUACGCCCUGAGGGGGAAAGCUGGGGAUCUUCGGACCUAGCGUUAAUGGAGCGGCCGAUACCUGAUUAGCUAGUUGGUGGGGUAAAAGCCUACCAAGGCAACGAUCAGUAGCUGGUCUGAGAGGACGACCAGCCACACUGGGACUGAGACACGGCCCAGACUCCUACGGGAGGCAGCAGUGGGGAAUUUUGGACAAUGGGGGCAACCCUGAUCCAGCCAUUCCGCGUGCGUGAAGAAGGCCUUCGGGUUGUAAAGCUCUUUCGCAAGGGAAGAAACGAUAUAGGUUAAUAGCUUAUGUUAAUGACGGUACCUUGACAAGAAGCACCGGCUAACUACGUGCCAGCAGCCGCGGUAAUACGUAGGGUGCAAGCGUUAAUCGGAAUUACUGGGCGUAAAGCGUGCGCAGGCUGUUUUGUAAGUCAGAUGUGAAAUCCCCGAGCUCAACUUGGGAACUGCGUUUGAAACUACAAGACUAGAAUAGGUCAGAGGGGGGUAGA